rnacentral:rRNA from 1 species
UGCAGUCGACGGCAGCAUAGGAGCUUGCUCCUGAUGGCGAGUGGCGAACGGGUGAGUAAUAUAUCGGAACGUGCCCUAGAGUGGGGGAUAACUAGUCGAAAGACUAGCUAAUACCGCAUACGAUCUACGGAUGAAAGUGGGGGAUCGCAAGACCUCAUGCUCCUGGAGCGGCCGAUAUCUGAUUAGCUAGUUGGUGGGGUAAAAGCCUACCAAGGCAACGAUCAGUAGCUGGUCUGAGAGGACGACCAGCCACACUGGGACUGAGACACGGCCCAGACUCCUACGGGAGGCAGCAGUGGGGAAUUUUGGACAAUGGGGGCAACCCUGAUCCAGCAAUGCCGCGUGAGUGAAGAAGGCCUUCGGGUUGUAAAGCUCUUUUGUCAGGGAAGAAACGGUAGUAGCGAAUAACUACUACUAAUGACGGUACCUGAAGAAUAAGCACCGC